ACAGGUUUGCAACAUCCUUACUAUAAAAGUUAUAAAUUGAAAUAAUGAUGACAUGGAAUAAAAGGAGAAACCAAAAGCAGGAAAAUGUGGAAACAUGUUCAAGGAGGAAGAACUAACACAGUCAUUUGUGUUGAGCCUCUUGACGGCCAAGCAAAACUUAAGGAAGUGAGAACGAGACUGACCAUCCUAGAACCAAUCUGGGGACUUAGGUGCCAUGUGUCAUGUGUGAUCUGUGCGGGGCCAGCAAAGCCACAGCUGGUGGUCAGCAAAUGAAAACUAUUCCCCACAGAUCCCAUCCCCCCAGAGAAUGUCGGCAUGAUAAUUUUCCACUUCCAUCUAACUUAGCUUCCUGUUCACUGUAAGAUCUGAAUAAAUGCUUUUUCCUC
rnacentral:lncRNA from 1 species